rnacentral:rRNA from 1 species
GACGAACGCUGGCGGCGCGCCUUACGCAUGCAAGUCGCACGGACCUUCGGGUUAGUGGCAGACGGCUGAGUAACGCGUAGGUAACCUAUCCAGUAGUGGGGGAUAACCCUUCGAAAGAAGGGCUAAUACCGCAUGAGUUCCCGGGUUGAAAGUGCCCGGGAGGAAAGCCUUCGGGCGCUACCGGAGGGGCCUGCGUCCUAUCAGGUAGUUGGUGAGGUAACGGCCCACCAAGCCUGUGACGGGCAGCUGGUCUGAGAGGAUGAUCAGCCACACUGGGACUGAGACACGGCCCAGACUCCUACGGGAGGCAGCAGUGGGGAAUAUUGGACAAUGGGGGCAACCCUGAUCCAGCCAUGCCGCGUGAGUGAUGAAGGCCUUAGGGUUGUAAAGCUCUUUUACCCGGGACGAUAAUGACUGUACCGGGAGAAUAAGCCCCGGCUAACUUCGUGCCAGCAGCCGCGGUAA